rnacentral:rRNA from 1 species
UGUCCUACGGGACGCAGCAGUGGGGGAUAUUGCACAAUGGGGGGAACCCUGAUGCAGCGACGCCGCGUGGGUGAAGGAGCGUUUCGGCGCGUAAAGCCCUAUCGGCAGGGAAGAAGGAGGACGGUACCUGACUAAGAAGCCCCGGCUAGCUACGUGCCAGCAGCCGCGGUAAUACGUAGGGGGCGAGCGUUGUCCGGAAUCACUGGGCGUAAAGGGCGCGUAGGCGGGUUAAUAAGUCAGUGGUGAAAACUGAGGGCUCAACCCUCAGCCUGCCACUGAUACUGUU